rnacentral:rRNA from 1 species
CUCGUAGGUGGCUCUGUAAGUAGGUGGUGAAAGCCCACGGCUCAACCGUGGAUACGCCUCCUAAACUGUGGAGCUUGAGGCUGGGAGAGGGAAUCGGAAUUCCUGGUGUAGCGGUGAAAUGCGUAGAUAUCAGGAGGAACACCGGUGGCGAAGGCGGAUUCCUGGACCAGUUCUGACACUGAGGAGCGAAAGCCAGGGGAGCAAACA